GACGAACGCUGGCGGCGUGCUUAACACAUGCAAGUGGAGCGACGAACCAGGGCUUGCCCUGGGGCAGAGCCGCGAACGGGUGAGUAACACGUGGGUAACGUGCCCCGAUGAUCGGGACAACCCGGGGAAACCCGGGCUAAUACCGAAUGUGCUCCCCUCACACCAGUGAGGGGUGGGAAGGAAGCUUCGGCCUCCGCAUCGGGAUCGGCCCGCGGCCCAUUAGCUUGUUGGUGAGGUAACGGCGCACCAAGGCUGCGAUGGGUAGCUGGUCUGAGAGGACGAUCAGCCACACUGGGACUGAGACACGGCCCAGACUCCUACGGGAGGCAGCAGUGGGGAAUCUUGCGCAAUGCGCGAAAGCGUGACGCAGCAACGCCGCGUGGGGGAAGAAGGCCUUCGGGUUGUAAACCCCUUUCAGGAGGGACGAAGCGUGGGCGGUUAAUAGCCGAUCCACGUGACGGUACCUCCAGAAGAAGCCCCGGCUAACUACGUGCCAGCCGCCGCAGUAAGAC
rnacentral:rRNA from 1 species